rnacentral:rRNA from 1 species
GACGAACGCUGGCGGCGUGCUUAACACAUGCAAGUCGAGCGGUAAGGCCCUUUCGGGGGUACACGAGCGGCGAACGGGUGAGUAACACGUGGGUGACCUGCCCUCAGCUCUGGGAUAAGCCUGGGAAACCGGGUCUAAUACCGGAUAUGACUCCAUGACGCAUGUUGUGGGGUGGAAAGCCUUGUGCGGCUGAGGAUGGGCCCGCGGCCUAUCAGCUUGUUGGUGGGGUGANGGCCCUACCAAGGCGACGACGGGUAGCCGGCCUGAGAGGCGACCGGCCACACUGGGACUGAGACACGGCCCAGACUCCUACGGGAGGCAGCAGUGGGGAAUCUUGCGCAAUGGGCGAAAGCCUGACGCAGCGACGCCGCGUGAGGGAUGACGGCCU